ACCCGAGAGUGGGCCCGAUACUAUCGGUUUGCAUCCAAUCUAAAAUCAGCAAUAUUUUAUUCAUAAGGAGGCUAUGAUGACUGCCUGUGCGAAAGGCACUUAAAGAGUCUAGAGAGAUAUAGAGAUGGUGCAUUUCUAUUUUUGUUGUUAUAGUUGCAGGACAAGCUUGGACAAUUUGUUAUAUUGUAAGCAAUCAUUUGCAGCCACCUCAUGG
rnacentral:lncRNA from 1 species